AGUGAACGCUGGCGGUAGGCCUAACACAUGCAAGUCGAACGGCAGCACAGUAAGAGCUUGCUCUUACGGGUGGCGAGUGGCGGACGGGUGAGGAAUACAUCGGAAUCUACUUUUUCGUGGGGGAUAACGUAGGGAAACUUACGCUAAUACCGCAUACGACCUACGGGUGAAAGCAGGGGAUCUUCGGACCUUGCGCGAUUGAAUGAGCCGAUGUCGGAUUAGCUAGUUGGCGGGGUAAAGGCCCACCAAGGCGACGAUCCGUAGCUGGUCUGAGAGGAUGAUCAGCCACACUGGAACUGAGACACGGUCCAUACUCCUACGGGAGGCAGCAGUGGGGAAUGUUGGACAAUGGGCGCAAGCAUGAUCCAGCCAUACCGCGUGGGUGAAGAAGGCCUUCGGGUUGUAAAGCCCUUUUGUUGGGAAAGAAAAGCAGCAGGUUAAUACCCCGCUGCUCUGACGGUACCCAAAGAAUAAGCACCGGCUAACUUCGUG
rnacentral:rRNA from 1 species